GAGUAACACGUGAGUAACCUGCCCUUAACUCUGGGAUAAGCCUGGGAAACUGGGUCUAAUACCGGAUAUGACUCCUCAUCGCAUGGUGGGGGGUGGAAAGCUUUUGUGGUUUUGGAUGGACUCGCGGCCUAUCAGCUUGUUGGUGAGGUAAUGGCUCACCAAGGCGACGACGGGUAGCCGGCCUGAGAGGGUGACCGGCCACACUGGGACUGAGACACGGCCCAGACUCCUACGGGAGGCAGCAGUGGGGAAUAUUGCACAAUGGGCGCAAGCCUGAUGCAGCGACGCCGCGUGAGGGAUGACGGCCUUCGGGUUGUAAACCUCUUUCAGUAGGGAAGAAGCGUAAGUGACGGUACCUGCAGAAGAAGCGCCGGCUAACUACGUGCCAGCAGCCGCGGUAAUACGUAGGGCGCAAGCGUUAUCCGGAAUUAUUGGGCGUAAAGAGCUCGUAGGCGGUUUGUCGCGUCUGCCGUGAAAGUCCGGGGCUCAACUCCGGAUCUGCGGUGGGUACGGGCAGACUAGAGUGAUGUAGGGGAGACUGGAAUUCCUGGUGUAGCGGUGAAAUGCGCAGAUAUCAGGAGGAACACCGAUGGCGAAGGCAGGUCUCUGGGCAUUAACUGACGCUGAGGAGCGAAAGCAUG
rnacentral:rRNA from 1 species